rnacentral:rRNA from 1 species
AUGGCCGUCUGCGAUGUGCGCGGGCUGCUCCGGCACGGCGCCGACCCAGGGUUCCGCUUCGUUCCGCUGCCCGGAGAGUGCCCGGCGUAUGACCGCGGCCAGAUGUACAAACGGGAAUCGCCACUUGAGGCGGAGGAGUUCCGCUGCAUGGCCUGCGUCGGCGGCAGCAUCAAGUUCGUCGCCAUGGAUGGCUACGGCGAUCGGCCCGGCGACGAGGUAACGCUGGCCAUCUGGACGCUGUCGCCGGACCUCUGCGGUUGGAAGAAAGGCGCGGUGUACCACGUGAGGGACAUCUGGGCAAGCGAGAGCCACCGCUCGCUGGGCUUGCCGCAGAACCUGCCGUCGUUCCCGGUGCUGAGCGUCGACGAGGACGACGUCGUCUACCUCUUCUUGGUCGACCUGGACGUGACGGAGGACGGUGACGCGGAGUUCAAAAACCACCAUGUGCUUCGCGUCGACAUGCAGAACAAGAAGGUCUCCCACCAUUCAAAGAGUGCAGAGGAGAUGCCUGUUCAACUCUACAGCAGUGAAAUUCUUGCCACCGAGUGCAGCGCAUACCUGCAGUAA